GUCCUUUUGAGUUUUAUUUAAGGUCUGACCUGCCCUAUGAGAAAUUAAAUGGCCGCGGUAUUUUAACCGUGCAAAGGUAGCAUAGUCACUUGUCUCUUAAUUGGAGGCUUGAAUGAAGGGUUGGACGAGAUAUAAACUUUCUUUGUUGCAUUAAGUUGAAUUUAAUUUUUUAGUUAAAAAGCUUAAAUUUAUUUAUAGGACGAGAAGACCCUAUAGAAUUUUAUAUUUUUUAUACAUUAAUUUAUUUUUUUAUGAUUUGGUUUUUGUUUUGGGAAUAUUUUGUUGGGGCGAUGGGAAGAUAUUUUUAACUCUUUUUAUUUUAAUUCAUUUAUAUAUGUUUAUUUUGAUCCUUUUUUAAAGAUUAUAAGAUUAAAUUACCUUAGGGAUAACAGCGUAAUUCUUUUGGAGAGUUCUUAUCGAUAAAGGAGUUUGCGA
rnacentral:rRNA from 1 species